CAGUGCCUGAGUGGGAGAAGACAGACUGAGUCAUCCUAUGCAAGAUACUAAUGAUUAUGAUUCUCCGGAUGGAAGCCAUUGCAGAAGUAGUACACCAGUACUGUUCUCACAUAUUGACAGAAUUCUACCGCAGAAGCAGUAAGUGAAGAUGGCAACUGAACUCAAAUACUUAAGGAGUGCCAUGGUUACUCAGGCAAGUUUCAGUCUCUGUGUGCAGGGUGCUAAGUGCAUACAAAGCUGUCCACACCUCAAACAGCAAACAAACCAUCUAAAUGGGGAAGCACAUGUAGAUCCAGCUGGAAAAGUGAGCUACAAUGUGACAGCAAGCAUCCAAAACUGCAGAUAUUCAGCAACCUGAGUUUGUCUUAGCCUCAUGACAAUGCAGUACCUCAAACCCAAAUAUACCCUUUCUUUCUUAGCCUUAGGAACAUGGGAUGCCAGAAAUAUUCUAGUCUAUGUAAGAAGAACAAAGCCACAAUUAAUGGCUGGAAAUUCAUUAGUGGUUUGCAUUGUGCUGUGCAGCACCUCUUGCUAGGAUAUGUCAUGGACAUCCCAAGAAGAAAGAAGCAGUAAGCUUCAAAGGAAGCUUGUUCCUUAUGCAGUGGUCAGUAGACCUGUGAAGCAUCUUCCCAAAUGAUGUUGUAGAUGCAAAAACUUAUGUGGUUUGAAAUGGACACUGUACAAGAGCAUGGGGAAAAAAAAACACUGAGGAUUACUGACUAGAUAAAUCAUGUCAAACUUAGGAAAUCCCCUAAAAUAGUUGAAAGCUGAGACAGUAUUUGGGGAAGUAUCAUGUAGACUUCCCUGUUUUUGCUAUUCUUUAGGUGUCCCUUACAGACAGUGUUGGAGAUGGUAUGUCUGUUUUUAUGACCUUAUGUACUAGAGCAGCAGCUGAUUAGCAUCCUGAUUCUUAUAUGGACUAUGUCCAAGGUGCACAUAUCUUGGUCUUGUGUAACAAGGACCACAUGGCACCACAUGGAAAAAGAGUACAGCAUGUUAGUUUUCCUCUUUCACUUUUCUUCCACCCCUCCUCCUCAGCAAUACUAUGUAAGCAGCUGUUUUUGUUACUCCUCCUUGGGCCAAAGAAUGAAUGAUGUCUGUGUUGCUUUGAAGGAAUCCCUCUUUGAAGGAAUUCCUCUUUGAACUCCUUUUUGAAUUCCUUCAUAAAGGUCAUGCAUCCUUGCAUGGAAAGCAGAAAAGCUGAAGUCUAUGAACAUAAGGAGUAUUCACAUUA